rnacentral:rRNA from 1 species
AUGAGGCGAACCGGGGGAACUGAAACAUCUAAGUACCCCGAGGAAAAGAAAUCAACCGAGAUUCCCCCAGUAGCGGCGAGCGAACGGGGAGGAGCCCAGAGCCUGAAUCAGUGUGUGUGUUAGUGGAAGCGUCUGGAAAGGCGCGCGAUACAGGGUGACAGCCCCGUACACAAAAAUGCACAUACUGUGAGCUCGAUGAGUAGGGCGGGACACGUGGUAUCCUGUCUGAAUAUGGGGGGACCAUCCUCCAAGGCUAAAUACUCCUGACUGACCGAUAGUGAACCAGUACCGUGAGGGAAAGGCGAAAAGAACCCCGGCGAGGGGAGUGAAAAAGAACCUGAAACCGUGUACGUACAAGCAGUGGGAGCCUCUUAAUGGGGUGACUGCGUACCUUUUGUAUAAUGGGUCAGCGACUUAUAUUCUGUAGCAAGGUUAACCGAAUAGGGGAGCCGAAGGGAAACCGAGUCUUAACUGGGCGUUAAGUUGCAGGGUAUAGACCCGAAACCCGGUGAUCUAGCCAUGGGCAGGUUGAAGGUUGGGUAACACUAACUGGAGGACCGAACCGACUAAUGUUGAAAAAUUAGCGGAUGACUUGUGGCUGGGGGUGAAAGGCCAAUCAAACCGGGAGAUAGCUGGUUCUCCCCGAAAGCUAUUUAGGUAGCGCCUCGUGAAUUCAUCUCCGGGGGUAGAGCACUGUUUCGGCAAGGGGGUCAUCCCGACUUACCAACCCGAUGCAAACUGCGAAUACCGGAGAAUGUUAUCACGGGAGACACACGGCGGGUGCUAACGUCCGUCGUGAAGAGGGAAACAACCCAGACCGCCAGCUAAGGUCCCAAAGUCAUGGUUAAGUGGGAAACGAUGUGGGAAGGCCCAGACAGCCAGGAUGUUGGCUUAGAAGCAGCCAUCAUUUAAAGAAAGCGUAAUAGCUCACUGGUCGAGUCGGCCUGCGCGGAAGAUGUAACGGGGCUAAACCAUGCACCGAAGCUGCGGCAGCGACACUAUGUGUUGUUGGGUAGGGGAGCGUUCUGUAAGCCUGUGAAGGUGUACUGUGAGGUAUGCUGGAGGUAUCAGAAGUGCGAAUGCUGACAUAAGUAACGAUAAAGCGGGUGAAAAGCCCGCUCGCCGGAAGACCAAGGGUUCCUGUCCAACGUUAAUCGGGGCAGGGUGAGUCGACCCCUAAGGCGAGGCCGAAAGGCGUAGUCGAUGGGAAACAGGUUAAUAUUCCUGUACUUGGUGUUACUGCGAAGGGGGGACGGAGAAGGCUAUGUUGGCCGGGCGACGGUUGUCCCGGUUUAAGCGUGUAGGCUGGUUUUCCAGGCAAAUCCGGAAAAUCAAGGCUGAGGCGUGAUGACGAGGCACUACGGUGCUGAAGCGACAAAUGCCCUGCUUCCAGGAAAAGCCUCUAAGCAUCAGGUAACAUCAAAUCGUACCCCAAACCGACACAGGUGGUCAGGUAGAGAAUACCAAGGCGCUUGAGAGAACUCGGGUGAAGGAACUAGGCAAAAUGGUGCCGUAACUUCGGGAGAAGGCACGCUGAUAUGUAGGUGAAGCGACUUGCUCGUGGAGCUGAAAUCAGUCGAAGAUACCAGCUGGCUGCAACUGUUUAUUAAAAACACAGCACUGUGCAAACACGAAAGUGGACGUAUACGGUGUGACGCCUGCCCGGUGCCGGAAGGUUAAUUGAUGGGGUUAGCGGUAACGCGAAGCUCUUGAUCGAAGCCCCGGUAAACGGCGGCCGUAACUAUAACGGUCCUAAGGUAGCGAAAUUCCUUGUCGGGUAAGUUCCGACCUGCACGAAUGGCGUAAUGAUGGCCAGGCUGUCUCCACCCGAGACUCAGUGAAAUUGAACUCGCUGUGAAGAUGCAGUGUACCCGCGGCAAGACGGAAAGACCCCGUGAACCUUUACUAUAGCUUGACACUGAACAUUGAGCCUUGAUGUGUAGGAUAGGUGGGAGGCUUUGAAGUGUGGACGCCAGUCUGCAUGGAGCCGACCUUGAAAUACCACCCUUUAAUGUUUGAUGUUCUAACGUGGGCCCCUUACCGGGGUUGCGGACAGUGUCUGGUGGGUAGUUUGACUGGGGCGGUCUCCUCCUAAAGAGUAACGGAGGAGCACGAAGGUUGGCUAAUCCUGGUCGGACAUCAGGAGGUUAGUGCAAUGGCAUAAGCCAGCUUGACUGCGAGCGUGACGGCGCGAGCAGGUGCGAAAGCAGGUCAUAGUGAUCCGGUGGUUCUGAAUGGAAGGGCCAUCGCUCAACGGAUAAAAGGUACUCCGGGGAUAACAGGCUGAUACCGCCCAAGAGUUCAUAUCGACGGCGGUGUUUGGCACCUCGAUGUCGGCUCAUCACAUCCUGGGGCUGAAGUAGGUCCCAAGGGUAUGGCUGUUCGCCAUUUAAAGUGGUACGCGAGCUGGGUUUAGAACGUCGUGAGACAGUUCGGUCCCUAUCUGCCGUGGGCGCUGGAGAACUGAGGGGGGCUGCUCCUAGUACGAGAGGACCGGAGUGGACGCAUCACUGGUGUUCGGGUUGUCAUGCCAAUGGCACUGCCCGGUAGCUAAAUGCGGAAGAGAUAAGUGCUGAAAGCAUCUAAGCACGAAACUUGCCCCGAGAUGAGUUCUCCCUGACUCCUUGAGAGUCCUGAAGGAACGUUGAAGACGACGACGUUGAUAGGCCGGGUGUGUAAGCGCAGCGAUGCGUUGAGCUAACCGGUACUAAUGAACCGUGAGGCUUAACCUUACAACGCCGAAG